UGGGGACGAAAGUCUGACCGAGCAACGCCGCGUGAGUGAAGAAGGUUUUCGGAUCGUAAAACUCUGUUGUUAGAGAAGAACAAGGACGUUAGUAACUGAACGUCCCCUGACGGUAUCUAACCAGAAAGCCACGGCUAACUACGUGCCAGCAGCCGCGGUAAUACGUAGGUGGCAAGCGUUGUCCGGAUUUAUUGGGCGUAAAGCGAGCGCAGGCGGUUUCUUAAGUCUGAUGUGAAAGCCCCCGGCUCAACCGGGGAGGGUCAUUGGAAACUGGGAGACUUGAGUGCAGAAGAGGAGAGUGGAAUUCCAUGUGUAGCGGUGAAAUGCGUAGAUAUAUGGAGGAACACCAGUGGCGAAGGCGGCUCUCUGGUCUGUAACUGACGCUGAGGCUCGAAAGCGUGGGGAGCAAACAGGAUUAGAUACCCUGGUAGUCCCAA
rnacentral:rRNA from 1 species